rnacentral:rRNA from 1 species
UACGUAGGUGGCAAGCGUUGUCCGGAUUUACUGGGCGUAAAGCGCGUGUAGGCGGUCCGGCAAGUCCGCUGUGAAAGUCGGGGGCUCAACCCUCGGAUGCCGGUGGAUACUGUCGGGCUUGAGUACGGAAGAGGCGAGUGGAAUUCCUGGUGUAGCGGUGAAAUGCGCAGAUAUCAGGAGGAACACCAAUUGCGAAGGCAGCUCGCUGGGACGUUACUGACGCUGAGACGCGAAAGCGUGGGGAGCAAACAGG